UUGGGAAGAUCCCCUGGAGUAGGAAAUGACAACCCACUCUGGUAUUUUUGCCUGGGAAAUCCCAUGGACAGAAGAGCCUGGCUAGCAACAGUCCGUGGGGUCACAAGAGUCAUGCAUGACUGAGCAAUGUAGCACGCAGCAUGCAUGCAUGUGAUGGCUAUUGACUGUGCAGGAAAGGUCACUCUGAUACACUCUGAGAGUAAAAACUCUAUGGGAGAGGGGAUGGAUAGAUUGGAAGAUUGGGAUUGACUGGGAUUGACAUAUAUACACUAUAAUAUAUAAAAUAGAUAAUUAAUAAGGACCUACUGUAUGGCACGGGGAACUCUACUCAAUACUCUGUAAUGACCUAUAUGGGAAAAGAAUUUUUAAAAGAGUAGAUAUAUGUAGAUGUAUAGCAGAUUCACUUUGUUGUACACCUGAAAGUAACAAAGCAUUGUAGGUCAACUGUACACCAAUAAAAAUUUUAAAAAAUAACUCUGUAGGAAACUGUGAUAAGCAUAACAGCAAAGAAACCCUCCUAUAAGCCAGGAAGAGAAGAGAGAAGUUUGGAGGAGUAGCCGGAAGAAUCUGGGGCUUUAUUCACAGCUCCAGGCAAACCGGUUUUGAGUCACUGGGAAACACUUCUUCUGAACCACAAUGCAUCCAGCCUUGUCACCAGCAGAGUGGUGGUAAAGAAAGGUUACUCAUAAAUAGGUCAGCUGCCAACUGCAUACAGGCCAGCCUCCAGCAGUGCCCUGGGGGCUCCAAGGGAAAGUAGCCACCUCACACCACUGUGCUCAGGGACCAGCUGUGCCUGGGACCCUGAAAUCAACAUGCUACCUUGUCCAGAUGCGGUCCAAACAGGUAAGGACCCCUUGGCUCGGGCCUUCCCAAGGAGAACAGAGAGCCAGAUGGAAGUUGCUAGAUUCCAUCUGUGCUCAGCCCUGAGUGCUCCAAGGCCCCAGAGGGCGAACUGAGAUUCUAACACAAAUUCAGCCAGGCCAGGACCUUGACAGGGCUGCCUGCUCCCAUGUGGCCUGAUCUGGGCCUCCUGCUCAUCCAGGCUCCACUUCGCCCUUCCCUUUGCUGAAUGCUUCUAAGGAAAUGUAGGGGGACAUAAACUCCGAUGCUUUGCCAGCAUCAUUGUUUUCCAUUACUCUUCCUCAUCCUUUGCUUAUCAGGGCCAAAGGAACUGAAUUCUUAAUAAAUCACCUCAUAAUCUAGUCCAAUGGAAGUUUCAAAUACAGUAGGAGCCCCAGGAUACCUCUGUCACAUCCUUGCUUUUAUAAAGGAAAUGACAUGAAGACCGAAACAAGUUGUGUUUCCAGCUGAGGCUCAGAAAAGGUAAAUGGCCUGGACAAAGUCACACAGCCAGGUGGUGGCAGAAGUUGCUGCUCUGAGAGAGUGGGUGUGAAGUUUUUGCCUAUCAUCCAUUCACCCUUUUUCUAGUUGCAUCUUCCUUUGGGAAAUGCCCCUUAAUUUUAGUUCAUAUUGUGUGGGCUUUUUUUUUUUCUUUUAAUAUUUAUCUAUUUGGCUGUGCUGGCUCUUAGUUGCAGCAUGCAGAGAAUCUUUAGUUGCAGUGUGGAAAUUAUUAUUUGCGUCAUGUGAGAUCUAGUUUCCUGACCAGGGAUUGAACUCGGACCCUCAGCCUUUGGAGCCCAGAGUCUUAGCUACUGGGCCACUGGGGAGGUCCCAGUUCACAUUGUUGAGUGAGGCUAACCUGGUCCCAGAAUCUGGGGUAAACAUGUGACCCAGGCCCAAGUAGUAAUUUCACCCUCAAUGAUUGGCUUAAGGAUGGGCAUGUGACCCAAUUCAAGCCAGUAAGAAUCAGGCUUAGGAUUUUGGCUCAACAGCUGGGAGAGGGACUCUGGGGCAGCUGAGCUGAACAUAAACAGAUGUGGGGGCCGCCAAGCCUGGAGAGCCUGACUUGACUGUGGGUAAAGCCAGCACAGAGGACAGCAGAGUGGAGAGAUGGAGAGCUCCUGAGUCCUGGUGACAGUCUUUCAGCUUCUGGAUCCAGUCCUGCCUGAAGCCAUACGCCAGUAAGUGUUCCUUUUGGUUUGAGCUCAUUUGAAUUGCUCACUGCCAUUUGCAAAUGAAAAGUCUUGAACCAAGUGGACUCUAAAUCCAUGCUCUCUCCAGACUCCACACUGCCACCAGCUGAUCCAUCAAGCCUCUGAAGCACCAUCUCAGCCCUCCCCAGGAUUUCUACUUCAGCAGUAUUUUGGCUUGCCAGUUGACUCAGUGGUAAAGAAUCCACCUGCCAAUGCAGGAGACUUGGGUUUGAUCACUGGAUGGGAAAGAUCCCUUAGAGGAGGAAAUGGCAACCCACUCCAGUAUUCUUGCCUGUAGAAUUCCAUGGACAGAGGAGCCAGGAGGGCCACAGUCCAUGGGGUCGCAAAUGAGUUGGACACAACUUAGCAACGAAACAAUACAAUAGUACUUAGCCUCAGCCUGUCUGUGCUACAUAAACUGUGUUUACCUUUAUAAACCCCCUAGGACUUCCCUGGUGGUCCAGCAAACCCACCUGCCAAUGCAAGGGACACGGGUUUGAUCCCUGGUCCGGGAAGAUCUCACAUGCCUUGGAGCAACUAAGCCCUUCCACCGCGACUAGUGAGUCCGCGUGGCCCAGAAUCUGAUCUCUACAACCAGAGAAACCGCUGCAAUGAGAACCCUGAGCACUGAAAUGAAGAGCAGGCCCCACUCUCUGCAAUGUUUCCUCAUAACGUCCAGGGGUGGAGGAGGAAGAAGAGGAGGUGGAGGAGAAAUCCCUUAUGGAGGAAAAAAAUAUCAAGGGAGGGAGCCAGUCUGUGGAAGUGCCUGCCUGAAGCUAGUCUGUGGAAGUUCCAGCAUCACUGUUGGUUUGACAAAUGCAGCUGCUCUGCUGUGGACUUGUGGGUGACAGACAUCAUUUCUUUUAUAAAUUGAAAAAAUUUUUUUUGCCGUUCUGUCCAGCAGACAGGAUCUCACUUCCCUGACGAGGUAUCAAAUCUGUGCCCCCUGCAUUGGAAGCAUGGAGUCUUCACCACUGGACAGCCAGUGAAGUCCCAGACAUCAUUUCUGGCAAAAGCUGUACCCCAAGAUCUCAAGGGCUGUCUCAUGACAUGUCACCCCCAGGCUAUGUGCAGUUUAUUGGGGGCUUUUGUUCCAAAUCUCAUGUGCCAACAACUUUGAAGAGCUCCCUACCCCCUUAUGUGAAUGGGCAGUAAACUUUGUGAAUACAGA